AUUGAACGCUGGCGGCAGGCCUAACACAUGCAAGUCGAACGAGUGGCGGACGGGUGAGUAAUGUCUGGGAAACUGGCUGAUGGAGGGGGAUAACUACGGGAAACUGUAGCUAAUAACGCGUACCAUCGGAUGUGCCCACGUGGGAGUAGGUAGUUGGUGGGGUAAAGGCUCACCAAGGCGACGAUCCCUAGCUGGUCUGAGAGGAUGACCAGCCAUACUGGGACUGAGACACGGCCCAGACUCCUACGGUAGGCAGCAGUGGGGAAUAUUGCGCAAUGGGGGCAACCCUGACGCAGCCAUGCCGCGUGAAUGAAGAAGGCCUUCGGGUUGUAAAGUUCUUUCGGUAGCGAGGCGUUACCUACAGAAGAAGCACCGGCUAACUCCGUGCCAGCAGCCGCGGUAAUUC
rnacentral:rRNA from 1 species